rnacentral:rRNA from 1 species
GACGUAGGAGGCAAGCGUUAUCCGGAGUUACUGGGCGUAAAGAGUGCGUAGGCGGAUGGGUAAGUAGUUCGUGAAAUUGCUCGGCUAAACCGGGCGACGGCGAGCUAGACUGCUGAUCUAGAGGCAGGUAGAGGGGUGCGGAAUUCCGGGUGUAGCGGUGAAAUGUGUAGAUAUCCGGAGGAACACCAGAGGUGCAGACGGCGCCCUGGGCCUGACCUGACGCUGAGGCACGAAAGCUUGGGGAGCGAACGGG